UAAUAAGUGUUUUAUGGCACUUUUUAAAUCCAUAUCCACCUUGUGUGCAAUGUCAGUCGGAUCUUCUUCAUGGAGAUCGACCAAACAUCAACCUUUAUCUUUUAACUCUUUGUCUGAAAAAUAUUAUGAAUAAACAAUUCAAAAUA
rnacentral:misc_RNA from 1 species